rnacentral:rRNA from 1 species
CGCGUAGGUGGUAGUGUAAGUCUGAGGUGGAAUCCUAUGGCUUAACCAUAGAACUGCCUUGGAUACUGUAUUACUUGAGUCAGUGAGGGAGGGUAGAAUUCCUGGUGUAGCGGUGAAAUGCGUAGAUAUCAGGAGGAAGGCCUGUGGCGAAGGCGGCCCUCUGGCGCUGGACUGACACUGAGGCGCGAAAGCGUGGGGAGCAAACAGGAUUAGAUACCCUGGUAGUCCACGCCCUAAACGGUGGGCGACUAGGUGUAGGGCUCGUAAGGGUUCGUGUGCCGAAGGGAAACCAUUAAGUGCCCCGCCUGGGGAGUACGGCCGCAAGGUUGAA